rnacentral:rRNA from 1 species
AAAGAAAAUAACAAUGAUUCCCCUAGUAACUGCGAGUGAAGAGGGACAAGCUCAAAUUUUAAAUCUAUCGGGUUUUACCCGAUCGAGUUGUAAUUUGAAGAAGCGUUUUCUGCGUUUUUGAUCAGCCCAAGUCCUAUUGAAUGAGGCAUCAUGGAGGGUGAUAAUCCCGUCCGGUUGAUCAUUUGCGUUUUACGAUACGCUCUCUAAGAGUCAAGUUGUUUGGGAUUGCAGCUUAAAAUGGGAGGUAAAUUUCUCCUAAGGCUAAAUAACGGCGAGAGACCGAUAGCGAACGAGUACCGUGAGGGAGAGAUGAAAAGAACUUUGAAAAGAGAGUCUAAACAGUACGUGAAAUUGUUGAAAGGGAAACGAUUGAAGCCAGUCGUACCUUCGGGUAACGCAGCCUUUCGGGUGCGAU